AUUAGAUUUAUGCAUAUUUUGUAUCUCCCAUUUAUUACAUUUUUUAUCUUCAAAUUUGAUAUACGAAUUCUAGAGUUCUAUGUAUUUUUUUUUUCCGAGAAAAAGAAUAACUUUUUAAAAAUCUCAGAAAUAAAUAAAGUAACAACUAGAUGAGGGAUAGAUAUGAGUAAUUUUACCUUUGGAGUUUUUAGUUGGUCAGUCUCUUGAUGUCUGUACCUACUCUUCUGAAGAGAUCUUUACUGAGGUGGUGAAAAUGUGUUAACAUUUAAGCAUUUUGUUUCCUUUAGGUUAUAUCAGUGAAAAUUAAGUUAUGUUUGUUACUAGCAGUUACUACUAUCUGUCACAUCACUGCAAACUAUUACAUUGGAAACGGACUAGGAAAAAAUAUCAAAAUCCUAAGAAAAACGCAGUUAUGUUGUCUCAGAUGGGAUUUUGCUAAAAUACACUCUAGUGUGGUACACCAUGCUUUUGUGUAUCUGGCUCUUGUACCAAACACUAAGCCAACAUGAAUAUUUUUAUAAAUUCACACGGCAGGUAAAGGAUAAGGAAGAAAAUGUACACUGGCUGCUAAAAAUCCACAAGAAAAGGGUAAGCAUAUGGUAGCAAAGUAGUAUGCGGUUUCAAAAGGAGUAUUUCAGGCAGAAGAAAUCACUUAUGCUAGGAGGUUAAGGAAGUGACUAUACUUAUGUUAGAACUGUGGAAACAUUAAAUAUGAAUGAAAUUCAGAAAUAGCUUAAGGAAAGCUAGUAACAGGCCAGAAACAAAGGAUGCAACAGAAAAGAGCUCUGGGAACAAAUAACAACAGUAACAGAAGAGACCAAGAAAGCAGCAUCUAGGAUUUGUAAAUGAGCUUUACGAAAAUAGGAAACAAAUGGUCACUGGAUUGGAAUCAGUGAGGGACAAAAACAAUACAGAGGAGUUUGGAAAAAGUUUAAGGAGUUCUAAAACCAAAAUACUGGUGUCAGCUACUCUCUAGAUUAUGAAUUUCAGAGAACCAAGACCAGAGACAAAAAGUGGAGAGCAGAAAGGACUGAGUCAGAGCAAAUGGAAAGGUGAAGAAAAAAGACUGAAAACAUUCAAUUAUACAAACAUUAACCAUUGAGAAACUUCUCUGUGGCAAAGAAAGCAUUUAGGUAUCUGAGAAAGAAGUAUGCAGUUACAAAUGAUUGAUUUUUUUAUCACAUAGAAGUUAGGAGGACAACAUUAUUGACAAAAAUUGCUCUGUAUUCUGCUGGACUGUGCAAACACAGAAGUGAACUGUGUGCUGAAAGAAGUGUGGUAAAAAUUCCAUAUAAAAAUAAAAAUUAUGGGCCAUGUCCUGUGCUUAAUUCAAGACUGAAAAGGUGAUAUUGAACCACCAGCUGGAGGUCCCAGUUUGGUCUGUUGAGGGAUCCUUAGCAGCAUCAGGGUAUUUCUUUCCUAUAUUGGCCCCCUGCUGGUCAGUACACCAGUGAAAAGAAUGAGCUACAAAAGCCAUCUGAUGACGUCUCUUCUACUAAUGAGCAAAAAGUCUAUAAUGGUCAAAUCUGAAAUGCCAUUGUUUUUAAAGGACUAGAACUACAAACUGUAUAGGGAACGCAUGGAGAGUUUUCAGUAUAGCUUACCGUACAUUGUGAAGUGCUUUUACAAGCAUUAGACUACUUACUAGGUAGGAAGUUAUGUAUCUGCCAUCAUUUUUUUUUCUGCAAGGUGGAAAUUUUUGCUUUUAACAUCCUAUAUUCAGGUCUCGUUUUACGUUUUAGGGCAGUUUCUAUCAUAAACUAUCUUAAAAUGUGUAAUAGUGUAUUUAAUCUCAACCACAAUGAAACCAGAAAGCCAAAUAAAAUGCAUAAAAUAAGUAAUUGAAAAGGACUUGUUUUUCUAAUGUAAAACAAGCUGAGUGAGUUUAAAUAGUCUAAAUAGUCAUUACAGUCUGACUGUGAUGUGUUCUUUCCUCUGCACUUGCUGCAGCAUUUCUUGUAUUAUUAUAAUGGUUUCUAGAGCAAUAAAUUACAGACACAGAACCAACUGCUGAAAAGUGUAGGCGGCUCACACAGCAUGAUGCAAAUCACACUGUUGGAUACUGCUUCUUUGUAACAACAAUUCCAUUAAAGAACACGUGAUUCUGCCCACCAUAACACGGUUUCACUACACAGUGCAGCAUUUGAUGCAGCAAGGGAACAAGGAAGUUUCCAUCACUAAGGCCCUAAUUCUGCAAACAGCUAUUUUUUUGGCUUGAACUCUGUUUGCACAUGCAGUCGUCUAGUAACUACGCACAUAUGUAAAGUAAGCAACUACAUGAUCAAAUUCUAUUACCAAAAAGCUUGAUCAUCUGACAGCUGUUCAGGUAAUGAAAGAAAAAAAUGCCCACUCCUCAAAAGAAGCACACUCAACUGCCCUUAAAGCUUCCAUACCUCAAAAACAGAAACAGGACAGGAGAGAACAGGAUGUGGCGAGAUCACAUGCUUAGCGUGUAAAGGUAAUACUGAUCCAAAAUAUCUUGCAUUUGGGAAAAGCAAUGAUUAUUUUAAUCUCCAAGAGAAGUUAAGAACAAGUCACAACCAAAAAGUAAGUAUUUGUCCUGAUUUGCAGGUCAAUUUAGGUCCUCAAAAACCAACAUAACACCAUUACUUAAAAGGUGCAAUUUGACUGAAACACAAUAUUGUAUCCUUAAAGCAUUUAAGACAUAUUGUUCUCUUCCCUGAUGACAAUGAAAAAAAUUCUAAUUAAGAUGUAAUGAGAUAAAAUUCAUGGAAAGAGGAAAUGCGAAGGAU